rnacentral:lncRNA from 1 species
GUCAGAUAGUAGAACUAGUCUAAUGCUUUCAUGGAAACCAAUAAAAAAAUUUUAGGCAAAAUUAACACUCAAAGGUGUUCUGUAACCUUAAGAACAGCUGACCAAGAUCACGUGACUGUCAACUCUCAUGCACUCUCAUUCUCGUCUCAUCCGUCCUCGUUUGAUACUUUUUAUCAAUGGCCCAAUGCCAUUGUUCACAACACACGUAUUCAAAGCUUUUUGUCCCAAGACGUCCGACUCAGUCGCUUAAGAAAAGUUUUACAUAUAGAGGAACCGUCCUCUGGAAUAGCCUACAUGACGAAGCUGUAAAUGCUACAUCAAAAUAUUUGUCAUUGUAAUAGACCUUAUGCAUAAUGACGUCACAAGGCUUGAUGUCCGCGAGGAAUGCUGGUCUUAUUCGUCAUCGCACGGGAAAAUUAAACAAUUCAAAAUGGCGACUAUCGGAAUUUUCCCGGUCGAUGACUACUAAGACCAGCAUUCCUCGCGGGCGUCAAGCCUUGUGACGUCAUUAUGCACAAGGUCUGUUGUAAUUGUAAUAGUACUAUGUAGAUAUUUUGGUAUAUGCACGGUUCCAUGGAAGAGCACAUUUUGUGAAAUGGAUUCCGUGUGAAAAUAAAGUUUUAAAGAUGCUGUAAAGUCGGCGUAAUGUAAACAAACGCUUUGUUUACAUUUUGAACUGCUAUACUUGUAAAAUAUGAUAUAUUAACUGAAUAUCUAACACUUUUCUGAUUCGCUAUGCUUGUAUGAAUAUACACUGUACGUUUCAAUUCAAAAAAUUUCAAAAGAUGCAAAAUUUGGGCAAAGUUUAUAUCUGCGGGUCCCCCUUUGUUAUGAGCAGAACUGAUGCGCAGAACGGACUUUACAGCAUUUUUAAUGAUAAUAAUAACGUAUUGAUUUGACUGAUUACUUUAUAGGAUAUAUCAUGUUAAUUUACAUAAAUUUCAGCUUCGAUUUUCUCGGCUUAGAGAACGUUAACGUUGAUUUUUAAAAUGACUUCGCCAAUGAACUCAUUAGAUGGGUCGUUUUUUAAGCCAUUUAAAACACACGCAGUCAGUGUUUUGUCAGAUAUAAGACACUCGACUGUCGCAUCGUCUUUUAUAUCUGAUAAAGCACUCGUGCUUUAAAUUGUUGAGAAUGCAGAUUUUUUGUUGGUAUUUUGCGAGCGAUGAUUUGUGACGUCAAGUAUAGCCUUCGAAACGGACGAUCAGCAGUAACUGCAUUUAAUAUCAAAUGCAUGCUUUGAAAUAUGCUGUGACGCCACAAAUCAUCAAACAUUUGUUUAUUCGAUACAGGCUUAUGUACAUUUCACAGCACAUUACUUUCUAUUAGAAAUUCUAGUAUAUGACAUUAGUUAUACUAAUUUUAAAUACAGUAUAUGAUUACGUUGACAAUACCGAUGGGCGCCGAAACCUUCUUGGACAGCUUUUUGUUCUCCUCCCGACUACACACGUAAAAACGCACAAGUUGCACCGGAACUGCAAUAGGGGUGCACCGGAACUCGGUUCCGGCUGGAACCCCGAUUUUUUAGAGUUCCGGUUCCGACCGGAACUAGUAAAAAAGCAUGGCCGGAACCGGAACUCUGUCGUUUUCAGAGAGAUAGAAUAUCAAACGUUUUUGUGUCUAACAAAAGUUCACAGUAGGAAGAAAUUUGGACUACGCAAUGGAAAUGUACACUAUUAACACUUCAUUAUGACGUUUAACGCUUGUCAAUCUUUUUAUUCUAACAUUUGCGAGCUCUCUCCUUGAUGACUUGAAGUGUCUGCCUGUCUGGCAGCGGACAAAGUAACAUAUGACUAUAUAUGGCUUAAUAAAUCAGUUCCGGUUCCGGCCGGAACUUUUUCCAGUUCCGGUCGGAUCCAGUUCCGGCCGGAACUUAAAAAACUGGUUCCGGUGCACCCCUACCCUGCAAUUCAACGGCAUUAUUACAACUAACAGCACAAAUUACAGCACCGUUACAACUUGUUGACAACCUUGCUUUGACAAGCAUGUUGCGAAAACAUCUUGUUGACAAGUUGUGAGAUUUGUACGUGUGUAUAGGCCAGGAAAUACUAUUAGUGUACUGCCAUCUUUAGUUUAUUCAAAUCCAUUCAUUCUCUGAGGAGUGACGACAACAUACCAUACACAUAACACACCAAUAACGUAUACAAGACAAAUCCUACUGUAGCUGCAAAACUUCACUACCAAAGACUAUACCAUUGCCAUCGAUCUGUUCUUGAUGCAUGUAGAAAGCAUAAUACAACACACAUACACAUCAAACCGUAAACUUGUACUGGGUACUGUCCGGCAGUAGUAACACGACGGACUUCUGGUUCACCCAGACUAACUUGGUCUGUCUGAGAUUCACUGGAGUGAUUUUCACAUCCUUUGACACGGUUGUAGACCGAAUACACUUGAUUCCUGAGCCGAGUACACCGAACAGCGAGGAACUGGCCU